GGCCAUGGGAAGGAAGCGAUAGCGAGCGCAACAACACCAACGGGCAAGAGGAGGAGGAGCAAAGGGAUGAGUAAAGCUUCUGUGUUGGCCUUGUCUCAGCUCGCUCUCACUCUGUCGGUACCGCUAAACCUCGAGGGGAACGGCGGGCUAAGUCAUCCGACCACCAUGCCGCAGGCCGACGGGGCGGGGGAGGCAGACGGCGUGGCCUCCUAAAAAAAAGACGAUAAUCUUUCGGUAUACAAUUCCUUUAGUUGGAGCAGUAACUCCAUACAAGAAAGAAGGUCUAGACAAGUCCGUCCUCUCUCUGCUCUCUGCUGUCCUCGACUACUUACGUAUCCUCCCCCACAAAUGGACACUAAAAAAACGAAGAGGUUGGUACAAGCACAGGAACUAGUACCUCCUUAGCGGGAGAGACCACCACGAAGAGACCCCAAUUUAAAUCAUGAAAGAGUCACCAUAAUGUCACAUUAAGAAGACACACAAAAUUCACCUUAAAUGUCACAUGAAAAUCACCUUAAUCUCACGUAAAAGUCACCCAAAUGUGACAUUAAUAAUCACCUUAAUGUCACCUUAAAUGUGACAUUUAGACACCCAAAUGUCACAUGAAAAUCACCUAAAAACGGGACAUAAACGUUCACCGUAAAAAUCACCUUAAUAUCACAUAAAAAUCACUUUAAUGACACGUAAAAGGUACCAUAAAUGUGACAUUAAUAAUCACCUUAGAUGUGACAUUCAGAAUCACCUAAAUGUCACAUGAAAAUCACCUAAAAACGAGACAUAAAACGUUCACCUUAAUGUCACAUAAAAAUCACCUUAAUGACACGUAAAAGGUACCAUAAAUGUAACAUUAAUAAUCA
rnacentral:rRNA from 1 species